rnacentral:lncRNA from 1 species
CACAUGGCCGGAGAGUCACAAAAACAACAGCUUUGGCCAAGACCGUGACUUCAGGAAGGGAGCUCAGGGCCCUCGCCGCCAGCCCCCUCCCCAUGGAGGACAGUUUUCUGGAAUCGUUCGGGAGGCUGAGCCUCCAACAGCGGCAGCAGCAGCCGCCUCCUCGGCCGCCGCCCGCUCGGGGGCCACCUCCGCGCCGCCACAGCUUUAGGAAACACCUCUACCUCCUGCGCGGCCUCCCGGGCUCGGGAAAAACCACGCUGGCCAGCUGCCUCACCCUGCCGUAGAAGCCGCCCGCCCUUCUCAGCGUCUUGGCUCCUGUUUACAUCUCUGUGACUGCGCUUAGGUUUGCACACGGUUGCUUUUGCCUUCUGUGAGAUACUUGAAGAUAGGGGCCAUGUCUUACCCUCCGUGAACGUUAUCGGGCACACACUAGUCGAUAGAAGCAGUCACUUGCCACCUGUGUGCUUGCUUCCCUUCUCAUCAGAUAAGGCUAGCCCUAGGACCCUGGAACCGCUGAAGAAUCAAGGUAGCCCGCGGUCACAUGCUGAUUUCCAUGGCACCAGGAUUUUAAUUCCUGCUUGACAUUUGACUAAGCAGAAGACAUCGGACAAGAGAACAUCUCAUUAAACACCCGUAGGGACAGAUUGGGUGAGCCCCGGCCUGAAGGCAGAAGCCUGCUGUAGAUCUACCUCAUCACUAGCUAGCUGCUGUCUUAAGCAACCAUGACGCCUCUCUGUGACUACUAAGAGGUGAUUAAGUUAGAGGGUUCAAUGGGAAUCUUUCUCGUAACUUCCUGUUGCCAGAUCUAAAGAGUCAAGUAUGGCUUCCUAGCCAAGCUCUGCCACUCACUGGAGAUGUAGUCACUGGUUAGGUGACUGAUUGGCAGGACAAGCCCUCGGAGUUACAGAGGCAUUGGCUGUGACCAGAGGAGGCAAACCAUGGACUCGGCCCCCUACUGUAAGGGGCAAUGUAAGCCUUGGCAUGCCUCCCGGUGGGCUGUGGGUUUAUAUAUAAAGUUCCGCAGGGUGGGUUGCAAGUAAGAACCAGUCUGGAAGUCACAGCAAGACCUUCCCAGACCAUGUUUUCCAGGGAGGGAAUAGGAGAGAGAAGAAUAGAAGAUUGCCUUAAAUAACACCAUGUAGAACGGAGACACUGUACGGUUAUUAUGUCCUUACUGGAUCCUGAGGGUCAUUUUAUCUAUAUGCUUUCAACAUUUUCUAUAAUGGACGUGUAUUUCUUAAACCAGACCUUUAAAUAAAAUCUUUUUCUUU